GAAUGCUGACAUAAGUAACGAUAAAGCGGGUGAAAAGCCCGCUCGCCGGAAGACCAAGGGUUCCUGUCCAACGUUAAUCGGGGCAGGGUGAGUCGACCCCUAAGGCGAGGCCGAAAGGCGUAGUCGAUGGGAAACGGGUUAAUAUUCCCGUACUUGGUGUUACUGCGAAGGGGGGACGGAGAAGGCUAUGUUGGCCGGGCGACGGUUGUCCCGGUUUAAGCGUGUAGGUGUGUGUUCCAGGUAAAUCCGGUUCACUUUAACACUGAGGCGUGACGACGAGGCACUACGGUGCUGAAGCAACAAAUGCCCUGCUUCCAGGAAAAGCCUCUAAGCAUCAGGUAACACGAAAUCGUACCCCAAACCGACACAGGUGGUCAGGUAGAGAAUACCAAGGCGCUUGAGAGAACUCGGGUGAA
rnacentral:rRNA from 1 species